GACGAACGCUGGCGGCGUGCUUAACACAUGCAAGUCGAACGGAAAGGCCCUGCUUUUGUGGGGUGCUCGAGUGGCGAACGGGUGAGUAACACGUGAGUAACCUGCCCUUGACUUUGGGAUAACUUCAGGAAACUGGGGCUAAUACCGGAUAGGAGCUCCUGCUGCAUGGUGGGGGUUGGAAAGUUUCGGCCGUUGGGGAUGGACUCGCGGCUUAUGAGCUUGUUGGUGGGGUAGUGGCUUACCAAGGCUUUGACGGGUAGCCGGCCUGAGAGGGGGACCGGGCACAAUGGGACUGAGAUACGGACCAGACUGCUACGGGAGGCAGCAGGGGGGAAUAUUGCACAAUGGGCGGAAGUCUGAUGCAGCAACGCCGCGUGCGGGAUGACGUCCUUCGGGGUGUAAACCGCUUUCGCCUGUGACGAAGCGGGAGUGACGGUAAUGGGUAAAGAAGCACCGGCUAACUACGUG
rnacentral:rRNA from 1 species